rnacentral:rRNA from 1 species
UUCCUUCAGGUGGGGAAUAACCCAGUGAGAAGUGGGCUUAUUACCGCAUAACAUGACUGAUGGCACGAUGCUGUUGUCUUCAAAGGCGCAAGUCGCCAGCAAAGAGGGAUCCGCGGCCGAUUAGCUUGUUGGCGGGGUAAUGGCUCACCAAUGGCAUUGAUCGGUAGCCGGACUGAGAGGUUGGCCGGCCACACUGGAACUGAGACAGGUCCAGAUUCAUACGGGAGGCAGCAGUGGGGAAUCUUGCACAAUGGACGAGAGUCUGAUGCAGCAACGCCGCGUGGGGAUGAAGCUUUUCGGAGUGUAAACCCCUUUCGACCCGGAAGAAUGCCCGCAAGGGUUUGAGCGGUACGGGUAUAAGAAGCCCCGGUUAACUACGGUGCCAGCAGCCGCGGUAAUACGUAGGGGGGCCAGCGU